AUGCACGCUGGCGGCGUGCCUAAUACCUGCCAGUCGCGCGAACAGACGAGGAGCUUGCUCCUUCGACGUUAGCGGCGGACGGGUGAGUAACACGUAGGUAACCUACCUAUAAGACUGGGAUAACUUCGGGAAACCGGAGCUAAUACCGGAUAAUAUUUCGAACCGCAUGGUUCGAUAGUGAAAGAUGGCUUUGCUAUCACUUAUAGAUGGACCUGCGCCGUAUUAGCUAGUUGGUAAGGUAACGGCUUACCAAGGCAACGAUACGUAGCCGACCUGAGAGGGUGAUCGGCCACACUGGAACUGAGACACGGUCCAGACUCCUACGGGAGGCAGCAGUAGGGAAUCUUCCGCAAAGGGCGAAAGCCUGACGGAGCAACGCCGCGUGAGUGAUGAAGGUCUUCGGAUCGUAAAACUCUGUUAUUAGGGAAGAACAAACGUGUAAGUAACUGUGCACGUCUUGACGGUACCUAAUCAGAAAGCCACGGCUAACUACGUG
rnacentral:rRNA from 1 species